rnacentral:tRNA from 1 species
AGAGUAUAGUUCAGUGGUAGAGUGCAUGCCUAGCAGGCAUGAGGGUCCUGGGUUCAACCCCCAGUACCUCUA